AAACGUAGGACGCAAACGUUAUCCGGAGUUACUGGGCGUAAAGAGCGUGUAGGCGGAUCAUCAAGUCGGUUAUGAAAGCUCCGGGCUAAACCGGGAGAGGUUGACCGAGACUGAGGAUCUAGAGUGCGAGAGAGGGGUGCGGAAUUCCAGGUGUAGCGGUGAAAUGCGUAGAUAUCUGGAAGAACACCGGUGGCGAAGGCGGUUCUCUGGUCAUGAUUUGACGCUAAAGCGCGAAAGCGUGGGGAGCGAACAGGAUUAGAAACCCCUGUAGUCC
rnacentral:rRNA from 1 species